rnacentral:rRNA from 1 species
GACGUAGGGCGCGAGCGUUGUCCGGAUUUAUUGGGCGUAAAGAGCUCGUAGGCGGCUUGUCGCGUCGACUGUGAAAUCCCGCGGCUCAACUGCGGGUCUGCAGUCGAUACGGGCAGGCUAGAGUUCGGUAGGGGAGACUGGAAUUCCUGGUGUAGCGGUGAAAUGCGCAGAUAUCAGGAGGAACACCGGUGGCGAAGGCGGGUCUCUGGGCAACUACUGACGCUGAGGAGCGAAAGCGUGGGGAGCGAACAGG